UUAAGCGACUAAGCGUACACGGUGGAUGCCCUGGCAGUCAGAGGCGAUGAAGGACGUGCUAAUCUGCGAUAAGCGUCGGUAAGGUGAUAUGAACCGUUAUAACCGGCGAUUUCCGAAUGGGGAAACCCAGUGUGUUUCGACACACUAUCAUUAACUGAAUCCAUAGGUUAAUGAGGCGAACCGGGGGAACUGAAACAUCUAAGUACCCCGAGGAAAAGAAAUCAACCGAGAUUCCCCCAGUAGCGGCGAGCGAACGGGGAGCAGCCCAGAGCCAGUGUGUGUGUUAGUGGAAGCGUCUGGAAAGGCGCGCGAUACAGGGUGACAGCCCCGUACACAAAAAUGCACAUGCUGUGAGCUCGAUGAGUAGGGCGGGACACGUGGUAUCCUGUCUGAAUAUGGGGGGACCAUCCUCCAAGGCUAAAUACUCCUGACUGACCGAUAGUGAACCAGUACCGUGAGGGAAAGGCGAAAAGAACCCCGGCGAGGGGAGUGAAAAAGAACCUGAAACCGUGUACGUACAAGCAGUGGGAGCACGCUUAGGCGUGUGACUGCGUACCUUUUGUAUAAUGGGUCAGCGACUUAUAUUCUGUAGCAAGGUUAACCGAAUAGGGGAGCCGAAGGGAAACCGAGUCUUAACUGGGCGUUAAGUUGCAGGGUAUAGACCCGAAACCCGGUGAUCUAGCCAUGGGCAGGUUGAAGGUUGGGUAACACUAACUGGAGGACCGAACCGACUAAUGUUGAAAAAUUAGCGGAUGACUUGUGGCUGGGGGUGAAAGGCCAAUCAAACCGGGAGAUAGCUGGUUCUCCCCGAAAGCUAUUUAGGUAGCGCCUCGUGAAUUCAUCUCCGGGGGUAGAGCACUGUUUCGGCAAGGGGGUCAUCCCGACUUACCAACCCGAUGCAAACUGCGAAUACCGGAGAAUGUUAUCACGGGAGACACACGGCGGGUGCUAACGUCCGUCGUGAAGAGGGAAACAACCCAGACCGCCAGCUAAGGUCCCAAAGUCAUGGUUAAGUGGGAAACGAUGUGGGAAGGCCCAGACAGCCAGGAUGUUGGCUUAGAAGCAGCCAUCAUUUAAAGAAAGCGUAAUAGCUCACUGGUCGAGUCGGCCUGCGCGGAAGAUGUAACGGGGCUAAACCAUGCACCGAAGCUGCGGCAGCGACACUAUGUGUUGUUGGGUAGGGGAGCGUUCUGUAAGCCUGUGAAGGUGUACUGUGAGGUAUGCUGGAGGUAUCAGAAGUGCGAAUGCUGACAUAAGUAACGAUAAAGCGGGUGAAAAGCCCGCUCGCCGGAAGACCAAGGGUUCCUGUCCAACGUUAAUCGGGGCAGGGUGAGUCGACCCCUAAGGCGAGGCCGAAAGGCGUAGUCGAUGGGAAACAGGUUAAUAUUCCUGUACUUGGUGUUACUGCGAAGGGGGGACGGAGAAGGCUAUGUUGGCCGGGCGACGGUUGUCCCGGUUUAAGCGUGUAGGCUGGUUUUCCAGGCAAAUCCGGAAAAUCAAGGCUGAGGCGUGAUGACGAGGCACUACGGUGCUGAAGCAACAAAUGCCCUGCUUCCAGGAAAAGCCUCUAAGCAUCAGGUAACAUCAAAUCGUACCCCAAACCGACACAGGUGGUCAGGUAGAGAAUACCAAGGCGCUUGAGAGAACUCGGGUGAAGGAACUAGGCAAAAUGGUGCCGUAACUUCGGGAGAAGGCACGCUGAUAUGUAGGUGAAGUCCCUCGCGGAUGGAGCUGAAAUCAGUCGAAGAUACCAGCUGGCUGCAACUGUUUAUUAAAAACACAGCACUGUGCAAACACGAAAGUGGACGUAUACGGUGUGACGCCUGCCCGGUGCCGGAAGGUUAAUUGAUGGGGUUAGCCGCAAGGCGAAGCUCUUGAUCGAAGCCCCGGUAAACGGCGGCCGUAACUAUAACGGUCCUAAGGUAGCGAAAUUCCUUGUCGGGUAAGUUCCGACCUGCACGAAUGGCGUAAUGAUGGCCAGGCUGUCUCCACCCGAGACUCAGUGAAAUUGAACUCGCUGUGAAGAUGCAGUGUACCCGCGGCAAGACGGAAAGACCCCGUGAACCUUUACUAUAGCUUGACACUGAACAUUGAGCCUUGAUGUGUAGGAUAGGUGGGAGGCUUUGAAGUGUGGACGCCAGUCUGCAUGGAGCCGACCUUGAAAUACCACCCUUUAAUGUUUGAUGUUCUAACGUUGACCCGUAAUCCGGGUUGCGGACAGUGUCUGGUGGGUAGUUUGACUGGGGCGGUCUCCUCCUAAAGAGUAACGGAGGAGCACGAAGGUUGGCUAAUCCUGGUCGGACAUCAGGAGGUUAGUGCAAUGGCAUAAGCCAGCUUGACUGCGAGCGUGACGGCGCGAGCAGGUGCGAAAGCAGGUCAUAGUGAUCCGGUGGUUCUGAAUGGAAGGGCCAUCGCUCAACGGAUAAAAGGUACUCCGGGGAUAACAGGCUGAUACCGCCCAAGAGUUCAUAUCGACGGCGGUGUUUGGCACCUCGAUGUCGGCUCAUCACAUCCUGGGGCUGAAGUAGGUCCCAAGGGUAUGGCUGUUCGCCAUUUAAAGUGGUACGCGAGCUGGGUUUAGAACGUCGUGAGACAGUUCGGUCCCUAUCUGCCGUGGGCGCUGGAGAACUGAGGGGGGCUGCUCCUAGUACGAGAGGACCGGAGUGGACGCAUCACUGGUGUUCGGGUUGUCAUGCCAAUGGCACUGCCCGGUAGCUAAAUGCGGAAGAGAUAAGUGCUGAAAGCAUCUAAGCACGAAACUUGCCCCGAGAUGAGUUCUCCCUGACNNNNNNNNNNGUCCUGAAGGAACGUUGAAGACGACGACGUUGAUAGGCCGGGUGUGUAAGCGCAGCGAUGCGUUGAGCUAACCGGUACUAAUGAACCGUGAGGCUUAACCUU
rnacentral:rRNA from 1 species